CGCCUCCUAGGUUCAAGUGAUUCUCCUGCCUCAGCCUCCCGAGUAGCUGGGAUUAUAGGUACAUGCCACCACGCCCGACUAAUUUUUGCAUUCUUAGUAGAGACAGGGUUUCACCAUGUUGGCCAGGCUGGUCUCAAACUCUUGACCUCAUGAUCUGUCCGCCUCAGCGGACGGAUCCCAAAGUGCUGGGAUUAAAGGCGUGAGCCACCACACCCGGCCCUGACUGUAUUUAAAUAAGGGACAUGAGUAUGUGUAUGUGUCACACACACACAUACACACACACACACACACCUGUGUCUUCCUCUAAAUUACUACCAUCAGGGCAAAUAUUAAAUCAGGAGCUGAACCUGUUGAUUGGAAUCUGGAACUGGUCACUUGGAAGCUGGGAAUCAUUGGUCUUCUCUUUGUGUUCUAGAACGGAGGCAAUCAUACUUCCACUCAUCUCCCAUGCAGACAGUUCAGAAUGAAUGAGAAGGACAUGCAAAUGGGAAGAAGAAAGAGAGCCCACGGUUGUUGAGCCUACAGGACAUUCUCAAACACUGAGAAUAGGAAGACUGACAAAGAUCAUUUAGGAAAUUUGCCUGGGAUCUUCUUGUGGGCCUACAUACUCCCCAUUGUCACUGCAAUAGAGCCAGGAUCCAGCCCAGUGCCUGGUCAGAAGAAGCUCCAUUAGUGCUUAAGAACUGUAUUCAAUUGGAACUUUCAACCAAUUCAAUAUGGUCACAACGGGUUGGCUCCUAGUAAGCUGCUCAGUAAGUGUUUCUUCAGGUGACGUUGGCAAAUGAAAGGCAGUAAGGCCCAGUGAUUUCAGAUCCAGACUGUGGUACUCAGAACCAUAUAAUCCUGGGGUCAAAUCUCAGCCUUGCUUGCUUCUUUCUGCGUGCCCUGAGCCUCUCCCCUGUAGAGAACCUAUUUCACAUUGUUGCUAUGAAAAUGACAUGAGAUCAUGAAUGUGAAAUUUAUCAUAGUAUUGCUCAUACUACUACCUUGGGCUGGGAACUAUUCCUGGGCUUUCUCAUUUAAUCCUCUUGCAAUUCAAAGAGGAAGGCGCUCUUAACUGCCCCACUUCUUACAGAUUAAGAAGUUGAGGAACAAGGGCUGGAGCGGUGUCUCCAAGGUCACGAAGCUAGUAAGAGUGGGUAUAGAUCGCAGAUGCAGUGGCUGGUCUUAACCGUUAAGGGAGAGCUACGAAGUCCCACGUGUGGACAGUAAGUACUCAGUAAAAGUACACUGUUACUGUUACUGCUGCUGCCAUUGUGCUGGACAGCCGGGGAAAGUGAGGGGCAGAGAACUUGAGUCCCCAUAGCUACUCCAUAACAGAGCCAGAACCACGGGUGGCUCCAACAUUCAGAUCUGGGGUACCAAGCCUUGUUGCUUGUUUCUUAACUGCUUUCUCCAAGGCCUGCCCUGGGCAGCCACACCCAGAGUUCUCACGACACCCUGGAGCUCUUGCCACCCAGAAGUUCUUGCCACACCCUGCCUGCUCCCGGAAGGUAACAGGGCCACUGAAGAAGGGCUGCAUUGUUGUGGCCUUAGCCUUGGCCCUGAAGGCCAGGAGGACAAACACUUUGGCUUGUAAGUACUGCAAAUCAAUAAACAGUAAAACUCAGAAUAAAUGCCCUCUUGAACUUCAACUGACCUCAACUCCAAGCUGGCUGGUCCUGAGGACAAAUACCCAGGAACGUGAUUCCAGGAGAGAAUACUUCUGCAUGGCAUCCAGUUGCUACCUGGCAGGAGGGUGUUUGCCUUUGAGAGAGGUGGGGGCAGGGGUAUCAAAUUCUCCUGGGGAAGACAGGAAGUUUGCCAGCGCCACCCAGAGCAGAAAAAAAGUGUGGCAGUAUCAAUAAAGAUGACAAUAGCAAGAGAUCUCCUUUUUUCCUCAGAGUCCUGGCCUGCAUGAAUAGGUGAAAUCACAACAGCUAAGAUUCAGUGAGUGCUUCCUGUGUAGGCCACGUGCUGCACUUAGGACCACACGCAUGGGUUCGUUGAAUGCACUCAACAACCCUAUGGCAUGGAUUUUAUUAUUUUCAUUUUUCAGGUGAGAAAACCAUGGUACAGAGAAAAGUAAAUCGCUUCCCCAGGGGCUGCUCGGCCCCCAGGAGGCAGAACCAGAGUCUGAACCCAAGCGAUCUUUUACGGCCCUCCCCUGCAAGCUGGCAACGGAGUAUUUCCCUUUAUGGUCCCUCUCAUUUAAUUUUGAAUCAGAUGUCUUAUGCCAAAGUAUAUACAGAAAGGACACCACUUUGGAAGGUAUCUUUGUCCAUUCUGGCUACUAUAACAAAAUACCAUAAACUGGGUGUCUUUUUUUUUUUUUUUUUUUUUUUUUUUUGACGGAGUCUCGCUCUGUCGCCCAGGCUGGAGUGCAGUGGUGCGAUCUCGGGCUCACUGCAAGCUCCGCCUCCUGGGUUCACACCAUUCUCCUGCCUCAGCCUCCUGAGUAGCUGGGAAUACAGGUGCCCGCCACCACGCCCGGCUAAUUUUUUGUAUUUUUUUUUUUAGUAGAGAUGGAGUUUCACAGUGUUAGCCAGGAUGGUCUCGAUCUCCUGACCUCGUGAUCCUCCCACCUCAGCCUCCCAAAGUGCUGGGAUUACAGGCGUGAGCCACCAGGCCCGGCCAACUGGAUGUCUUAUAAACAACAGAAAUUCAUUUCUGACAGUUCCAGAGGCUGGAACUCCAAAAUCAAGGCACAGGCAGAGCUGGCAUCUGGCGAGGUUCUGCCCUCUAGUUCAUAGAUGGUGCCUUCUCACCAUGUCCUCCCAAGGUGGAAGGGGUGGGAGGUCUCUCUUGGGCAUCUUUGAUGAGGGCACUCUUCCCAUUCAGGAGGCCUCUGCCUUCAUGACCUAAUCACCUCCCAAAGACCCAGCUCCCAGUACCAUCACCUUAGGGGGUAGGAUUUCAACAUAUGGAUUUUAGGGAAACACAAACAUUCAGACCAUAGCAGAGGGGAUGAGAGACCCCUGAAGCCUGCUAAGGCUCCUGAGAGCAGCUGACAAAUGUAUAGGAUUUUGAAGAAACUUUUAAAGUCCCAGGGCAAUCAACUUUGUUCCUGCUCUGAGUCUGAGAGGUCCCCAUUCAAAGUUAGCCCCCUCAUUCAGUCUUUUUUUUUUUUUUCUUAAAUUUUGAGACAGGAUCUUACCCAGGCUAGAGUGCAGUGGCACAAUCACGGCUCACGGCAGCCUCCACCUCCCAGACUCAAGGGAUCCUCCCACCUCAGCCUCCUGAGUAGCUGAGACUACAGGUACACGCCACCGUGCUUGGCUAAUUUUUGUAUUUUUUGUAGUGACAGGGUUUUGCCAUGUAGCCCAGGCUGGUGUGGAACUCCUGGGCUCAAGCAGUCCACCCACUUUGACUUCCCAAAAUGCUGGGAUUACAGGCCUGAGCCCCUAACUCAGUCUUUAUUGCACAGCAUUAAAAGGGUGGAAGGAGCGCUUCACAGAGCCAUUCUCCUCCUCCCACCACCAUGAGAGGUACAAAUUCUACCAAACCUCGUCUCCUGUCUGCCUCUGGUGCAGGUUGAGGUUUGGCCUUCAGGGAUUGCUCCUCUGAGCUAAUUUCUUGCAAAGGAUGUGACAAAGGUCACUAGAGAGAAAACACCUCAGCACGUGUUCCAUAGGCCAAUGCGGUGAGUUCAGCACAGCCCCAUCAGCACGCAGACCAUGUGAGAGGACUCAUGCAUGGGAGGCCACCCACGAACAGGGCUAUUUUAAUAGAAUGUCUUCGGGUGUGGUGAGAAAAACCCCGGCUUGGAGUGUUUGUGGUUCAUCUGGAAUCAGGCAGCGCUGUUAUAAGCUUGGGGCCUAUACAGGCUUCCUGGGUUUCUGCUUAUUGAUACACAUUGUAGGUCCUCCAAGAACGGUCCUGAAUCAUUCCCUUGGUUAUGUCCAUGUACCGGAUCAUUCCUUUGAUUAGUACACUGUAAAUACUUCAAGAAUGCUAGAGAAAGUUUUGAGAUCAGAGCCUUUCCCACAAAAGGUCAGGAGUUCCAGUUCUCAAUAAGCCGAGGUAUCUGUGGUUAGAGGAGUCCAGAAAAUGCGGGCUGUGUGCGCCCCCUGCUGGAGAGGGAGGCCCAGGCACGCGGAGCUUCUAGUUCAGGGCCGGGGUCCUCUUGAGGGUUCUCGGAGCACCUUCUCGCGGCUCAGAGGGUUCUUCUUCCUGUCCUUCCAGGGCGGCCUUGCGUGAGAGCAGGACUGCUAAGGGUAAUGUGGCAAUCUAGAGCCAGAUUGCCGGGGUUCGAAUCCUGCUUCUGCAACUGCUCUGUAACUUUUGGCAGGUCAUUAAACCUCUCUGUGCCUCACCUUCCUCAUCUGUAAAGUUGGGAUGAUCAUAUUAGAGCCUACCUCAGAGAGUACUUAUGAGACAUAAACGAGAUAACAUCUCAAACACUGAGGCACAAACAAAGCAAAUGUCAAAACACUUAGAAUGGUGCCUGGCACAUAGGGAGUGUUAUGUGUUAAUUAUAUAUUAAUUAUUGCUAUUAUUAAUAUCAUCAUCAUAAUUCUCUUGGUUAUUAAUAAAAUCUAAGAGAAAGCUUUUCUCCUCUCUCUCAACCCUAAGGGUCACUUUCACGGGCAUCAGAAAUUCUAACAAUCCCAGAGCCAGGAUUACAGGCAUGAGCCACCGCACUAGGCUCAUUAUUCUAGAUACUAAGAGGAGGGAAGAAACUGCUAACUCUAUUCCAAUAAAAACAUCUUCUUCAAAGAAAAAAGGUAAGCCAAGCACAGUGGCCAUGCCCGUAAUCCUGGCACUUUGGGAAGCUAAGGUGGGAGAUCACUUGAGGCCAGAAGUUUGAGACCAGCCUAGGCAACCUAGCAAGACUCCCCCUCUACAAAAAAAUUUAAAAAUUGACACAUGCCUGUGGUCCCCGCUACUUGAGAGGCUGAGGUAUGAAGAUCAUUUGAACCCAUGAGUUUGCAGCUACAGUGAGCUGUGAUUGCACCACUGCACUGCAGCUUGGGCAACAGAGUGAAACACUGUCUCUAAUUAAUUAAUUAAUUAAUUAAUUAAUUAAUUUUUAAUUAAAAAGAAAAAGAAAAAAGAAUAACUUUCAUAUCAGCCAG
rnacentral:lncRNA from 1 species